rnacentral:misc_RNA from 1 species
UCUCCGUAGGUGAACCUGCGGAGGGAUCAUUACUGAGUGAGGGUCUCUGCACCCGACCUCCAACCCAAUGUUACCAAAUACCGUGUUGCCUCGGGGGUAACCCAAGCCUUCCGGCCUGGGGCCCCCGGUGGACCAAUUCAACUCUGCGUCUGAGCGUCUGAGUAUAAUGUAAAUCAAUCAAAACUUUCAACAACGGAUCUCUUGGUUCUGGCAUCGAUGAAGAACGCAGC